rnacentral:rRNA from 1 species
UACGUAGGGUGCGAGCGUUGUCCAGAAUUAUUGGGCGUAAAGGGCUCGUAGGCGGUUUGUCGCGUCGGGGAGUGAAAACUCAGGGCUUAACCCUGAGCCUGCUUCCGAUACGGGCAGACUAGAGGUAUGCAGGGGAGAACGGAAUCCUGGUGUAGCGGUGAAAUGCGCAGAUAUCAGGAGGAACACCGGUGGCGAAGGCGGUUCUCUGGGCAUUACCUGACGCUGAGGAGCGAAAGUGUGGGGAGCGAACAGG